rnacentral:rRNA from 1 species
UACGUAGGGUGCGAGCGUUAAUCGGAAUUACUGGGCGUAAAGCGUGCGCAGGCGGUUCUCCAAGUCCGUUGUGAAAGCCCCGGGCUCAACCUGGGAAUGGCAUUGGAAACUGGCGGACUCGAGUGUGGCAGAGGGGGGUGGAAUUCCGCGUGUAGCAGUGAAAUGCGUAGAGAUGCGGAGGAACACCGAUGGCGAAGGCAGCCCCCUGGGCUAACACCUGACGCUCAGGCACGAAAGCGUGGGGAGCAAACGAGGAU